rnacentral:rRNA from 1 species
UACGGGGGGGGCAAGCGUUGUUCGGAAUUACUGGGCGUAAAGGGCUCGUAGGCGGCUUGUCGCGUCGACUGUGAAAACCCGAGGCUCAACUUCGGGCUUGCAGUCGAUACGGGCAGGCUAGAGUUCGGUAGGGGAGACUGGAAUUCCUGGUGUAGCGGUGAAAUGCGCAGAUAUCAGGAGGAACACCGAUGGCGAAGGCAGGUCUCUGGGCCACUACUGACGCUGAGAAGCGAAAGCAUGGGGAGCGAACAGG